rnacentral:misc_RNA from 1 species
GAAGUGCGAUAAGUAGUGUGAAUUGCAGAAUUCAGUGAAUCAUCGAAUCUUUGAACGCACAUUGCGCCCCUCGGUAUUCCGUGGGGCAUGCCUGUUCGAGCGUCAUCUACACCCUCAAGCUCUGCUUGGUGUUGGGCGUCUGUCCCGCCUCCUUCGCGCGCGGACUCGCCCCAAAUCCAUUGGCGGCGGCCCUUGCCUCCCUCUCGCGCAGCACAUUGCGCUUCUCGAGGCGCGGCGGACCGCGUCCAGCAAGCAACCGUCACACCGUCUUUGACCUCGGAUCAGGUAGGGAUACCCGCUGAACUUAAGC